rnacentral:rRNA from 1 species
GACGAACGCUGGCGGUGUGCUUAACACAUGCAAGUCGAGCGAUGAAAGCCUUAUGAACUAUUCGUAGUGAUUGGGGCCGGAUUAGCGGCGGACGGGUGAGUAACGCGUGAGCAACCUGCCUUAAACAACGGGAUAGCCUCGGGAAACCGGGAUGAAUACCGUAUGAGACCCCGCCUUACCAUGAAGAAGAGGUUAAAGAUUUAUCGGUUUAAGAGGGGCUCGCGUCUGAUUAGCUAGUUGGUGAGAUAAAAGCCCACCAAGGCAACGAACAGUAACCGGCUUUGGAGAGUGAACGGUCACAUUGGAACUGAGACACGGUCCAAACUUCUACGGGAGGCAGCAGUGGGGAAUAUUGCACAAUGGGGGAAACCCUGAUGCAGCGACGCCGCGUGAGCGAUGAAGGAAUUCGUUUCGUAAAGCUCUGUCCAAGGGGAAGAUAAUGACAGUACCCUUGGAGGAAGCCCCGGCUAAAUACGUGCCAGCCGCCGCGGUAACAC